GUCAUGCGCUGCUUACACAUGCAAGUCGAGGGGUAACAGAGGUAGCUUGCUACUUGCUGACGACCGGCGCACGGGUGCGUAACGCGUAUAGAAUCUACCUUAUACUGGGGGAUAGCCUUUGGAAACGAAGAUUAAUACCCCAUAGUAUGUUUGAAUGGCAUCAUUUAGGCAUUAAAGUUUCGGCGGUAUAAGAUGACUAUGCGUUCUAUUAGUUUGUUGGUAAGGUAACGGCUUACCAAGACUACGAUAGAUAGGGGUCCUGAGAGGGAGAUCCCCCACACUGGUACUGAGACACGGACCAGACUCCUACGGGAGGCAGCAGUGAGGAAUAUUGGACAAUGGAGGCAACUCUGAUCCAGCCAUGCCGCGUGUAGGAAGACUGCCCUAUGGGUUGUAAACUACUUUUAUAUGGGAAGAAUAAGGUCUACGUGUAGACUGAUGACGGUACCAUAAGAAUAAGCACCGGCUAACUCCGUGCCAGCAGCCGCGGUAAUACGGAGGGUGCAAGCGUUAUCCGGAAUCAUUGGGUUUAAAGGGUCCGUAGGCGGGCAUAUAAGUCAGUGGUGAAAGUCUGUGGCUCAACCAUAGAAUUGCCAUUGAUACUGUAUGUCUUGAAUUAUUGUGAAGUGGUUAGAAUAUGUAGUGUAGCGGUGAAAUGCUUAGAGAUUACAUAGAAUACCGAUUGCGAAGGCAGAUCACUAACAAUAUAUUGACGCUGAUGGACGAAAGCGUAGGUAGCGAACAGGAUUAGAUACCCUGGUAGUCUACGCCGUAAACGAUGGAUACUAGUUGUUUGGUUUUCGGACUGAGUGACUAAGCGAAAGUGAUAAGUAUCCCACCUGGGGGAGUACGUUCGCAAGAAUGAAACUCAAAGGAAUUGACGGGGGCCCGCACAAGCGGUGGAGCAUGUGGUUUAAUUCGAUGAUACGCGAGGAACCUUACCAGGCUUAAAUGUAGAUUGACAGGACUAGAGAUAGUUUUUUCUUCGGACAAUUUACAAGUGCUGCAUGGUUGUCGUCAGCUCGUGCCGUGAGGUGUCAGG
rnacentral:rRNA from 1 species